UUUAACGUCUGGUUAAUUAUGCUAUUACAACGAUGAGAAAUAUUACAUAGACGAUUCUACAGCCAACAAUUCUACCAUCUUGUGUGAAUACACGUCUGACUGCGCCACUCCGAGCCGCCUUAUGAGAUCCAUGUCCGAUGGUACGCCCUGCACCAUGCUGAAGAUCUCUUGUAACCUAUUUUCUCCAUCUGCAUAAUUUGGAUUUUUUGGGGUUUGAACUCAGACCUCUUGGUAUAGAAGCAUUAAUGAACCCUUAAUCAAACCGGUGGACUAAGGGGGCUUCCACUAAUAAUCAAACAAUAAGUAAAUGGGGGAUAUGAGCUCCAUUGAGCCUAUCCACAUAGGCAUAUUAAAUCAACCAAUGAAAACAACAAGAUAUGCCACUUCAGCUUAAUUGCAAUGGAAUCGUUCUUUUUCAUUAUGCCAUUGAAACACGAGUGUGCAGUAUCUCAGCAAUAAAUUUUCUAAAAAGUCCAUUCAGUUUCCUUCGCAAGACGAUACCUAUUCAUUUUCUGUAACGACGGAGAUUGAUGUUCCUUUUUUUAUAGGCCAUAAAAAAAGCUCAAGGCCUUGCGGAUUCACAAUCUCCUCUCCUCCAAAGCUUACGCCGCUAUGGCCUCUUCUCUUUCAUAUCCAUUUCUUCAUUUCUCUUCCUCUCCGGUGAAGAAGAAACUCUUUUUUAUCUUCCAUGUUCUCUGUCUGUUGAUUCGCUACUCCAGUCUUACUCUACCAUCAACAUCUUCGCCAGCCACAAUAGCCAUCUCCCUGGAUAAAUCGGAAAAGCUAUUGGUGCGCCGUCGAAGGAUUGUUGGGAGUAAACUUUCAAUGGUGUAUCUUCCUUCUCUUAUCUCUGUUAACCUGAUUACAUAGCCUUCUAGAUCUUUUUCUUUGGUUGUGAUGAAUUUUAGGGAUUCCUUGUGAAGAUCUAUGAUAUUAACAAGCUUAUCAGGCGGAGAAGCUGCUUCUAUAUUUGAAUACGAUGUUGUUAAAGCCCGAAUUUUCUUUUUUAUCUGGUUGUUUUUGAAUUCCCAAAAUUUGAUUGAGCUUUGUUUUGUUUUUUUUAUUUUGUCAUAAGGCGAGAUUACAAGUUUGGAUCAGACAAGAUCAUAAUUGAUGGGCUACAGAUAUUCAAAAUGAUCUGAUUCUUUUUCUUUAAGUUCAACAUCUAAUGGCUCUAUCUCCCCACUUCCCCUGAUUCGAUUGUAUGUUUGUAUUAUCUGUAAUGGAAGUGUCCAUCUCUUGCCAGGGAUCACGUUUACAUGGUAUCUUCUCAUUUACACAAAUAACCAUUCCACAAGAAACUUUUAAUCUUUCCACCGAUUGCUGUAACUUUUAUACAAAUUGAUUACUAUGAAACAUGAUGAUUCAAUGCAUCUAUCACGGACUAUACUGCAGGAAGCAAUCGUUUGUGUAGAAGACAAGCAAAUGAGUGAUUUUUUCUUCCAUCUCAUCUAAUCAGGAACCAAAGGCUUCCAAGCUCCAAAGGUACAUCAAGUGUAACUAUAUGAAUCUUCUACCUUGAGGCUAAAGAUGCAUGCCUGGAUUACUCAUUAGAACUUUCAGGAUGGAAAAUCUAAUUAUUUGGCGCUGUUCUUGGCAGAAAUAACUUGUGCAGGAUUCCUUCAGACGUGUGGUCAGCAUAAGUUUAACUUAGUAUUUGUUAGGAUUGCAGAGCCUGGUUUUUUAAUCCUCGCUCCUUUAUACCUAAGUUUCUGCUCUAUUGAACAUAAUUACAUUUCCUUUUCCUGGACAUCGUGGGAUCAUAAAGAAUUCAAGGUUAAUAUCAAUGGUUUAGUUGAGACUGCACCAGUUCCUGAAGAAGUCUAGAAUAUCCACUACGGUACUCCUUGGCCCGGUAAUAUUGUGCGUGAUCAUCCUGCCAUGAACAAGGUCUUCCUUGGAAACAAAGGUCUUAACGAUGUAGAAAAUGACGAGCUGCCUAGGCUGGUUUAUGUUCUCGUGAGGAGAGAGCCCAACUGACCAUCAUAAUAAGGAUGAAGAAAAUAAAUUUAUUGGUUUUUCAAGGAGCUAGAAAACAGAGAAUAUUAGUUUGGAAUCUGGGACAUACACAGCCGGCUUUGCAACUCUUGAAGUAGUGUUCAUGAACAUUGCUAGACGUGCUAAACUCAGUGGUGAAUCUAGAUUUAUUUUUCUCUGGGUGCACAAUGUGUAGAAAACAAAAUUGUGGGUGCAAUAAAGAGAAUUCUCUAUUUUGUCUAGCAUUUUUCUCUCAUUUUACCACACAAAAUAAAGAAAAAUUAAAAGAUUAUGGGUGCACAUGCCCACAUUGUCUUCAAUGUGGCUUCGCCCUAAACCAGAAAGUGCAAACGCUGAACGGCUGAAGGAACCAUGGUCACUCUCGAUUUUGAAUCUGGCAUUUCACUAAAGGUUGAAUAUUAGUGGCAACAAGACGGGACUUAAUGUUUCGUUGAUUGGAAUGUGAACAAAGAUUUUGGAUCAACCUUUCCUUAUGGGGAUUAGAAAGUUAUACAGAUAACUCACAUUGAGUUUUGUUUUCGUUCAAUAUGGCAAAAGUUAGCGCGAUGUAUAUAUAUGUUUCAAACAAGUUCGUGACUGAUUGAUUACGUUGCUGACAUGUGAGCAAUCUUUUGAUGAUUGGUUUGCCUUUCCCAACAGAUUUGUGAACAUAUAUUAAUAUUAUGUCAAACAAUCCACCAAACUUUUUUAUUUUUAGAUAAUUAUUCAAAAUUAUAUUUGACAAAAUGUAUUCCAAGUUAUAUAAGCGGCAUGCACUUUUUCAGUAUUGUUGAUAUAUAUCUUCUCUUUGUAUUUGAGAGAAUGAUACUUCAUAAAUUUUACAC